rnacentral:rRNA from 1 species
UAGGGAAUCUUCCACAAUGGGCGCAAGCCUGAUGGAGCAACACCGCGUGAGUGAAGAAGGGUUUCGGCUCGUAAAGCUCUGUUGUUAAAGAAGAACACGUAUGAGAGCAACUGUUCAUACGUUGACGGUAUUUAACCAGAAAGUCACGGCUAACUACGUGCCAG